rnacentral:tRNA from 1 species
GACGCUAUGGCCGAGUGGUUAAGGCGAUUGACUAGAAAUUCCUGGCAUCAAUUUCCCUUUGGGAGCGUAGGUUCAAGUCCUACUGGCGUCG